UGUUUCUGUUUCUGUUUCUGUUUCGAUUAACAAAAGAACCCCACAAACCAGAGAGAAAAAAAUAUAAAGGAAAACAAGAGUUAGCUGUCUCGAUCAUAUUCUUCGUUCUGGUCUUGGAUCCACAGCAGCCAACUACGAUCAAUAAAAGGUUAUAAACCCAAUUUGCGAUUAUUAUACGGAUAUUCUGUUGAAGUUCCUCAAGUUAAUCGCUCAGCAAGUUCAUUACAGCUUUCUUGAGUUCUACUUUGAAAGGGGGAACCUAGGGAAUGCUGCAUGAUGUGCCUGAAUGUUUGGAACUCUGUCACUGAUGCCCAUAAGUUAGUGGCAUUGCAAGACUUGCCUUUUGUUGUCCUUGAUGAGACUAGAUUCUUAGAUUGUACUUCCUCAUUCGCAUGUUCUGCUGAAGAGCAAUAUGAGCCUGCAACUCUUUACAAAUUUCCUGUUUUGUUAAUGCGUGAUCUAUGUGAAGACGGUUGAGCUGCUUCUACUGUGCGUAACUCUUGUGUUUUGUGGAUUAUAUAUGUAGCGUAUUGGUGGGAUAGAAUAGUUGAGAUUAUUGAAUUUGCAUUUUUGGCCUGUGAUGGAAAAUAAACCCAGUAUCUUGACACAAAAAUAUGAGAUAGGGAGAUUGCUUGGCCAAGGCACCUUUGCAAAGGUUUAUUAUGCAAGGAGUAUCAGAACGUAUCAAAGUGUGGCAAUUAAGGUGAUUGACAAAGAGAAGAUUUUAAGGGUAGGGCUUGUUGAUCAGAUCAAGAGGGAAAUAUCUGUGAUGAGAAUUGUUAGACACCCUAAUAUUGUGCAGCUUUAUGAGGUCAUGGCAACCAAAAGUAAGAUUUACUUUGUAAUGGAGUAUUGUAAAGGUGGUGAACUCUUUAACAAGGUUGCUAAAGGAAAGCUAAAGGAGGAUGUUGCAUGCAAGUAUUUUCAACAGUUGAUCAAUGCAGUUGAUUUCUGCCACAGCAGGGGUGUUUAUCAUCGAGACAUAAAGCCAGAAAACCUAUUGUUGGAUGAGAAUGAGAAUCUAAAGAUAAGUGACUUUGGGUUAAGUGCACUUGCUGAAUCCAAACACCAAGAUGGACUACUCCAUACAACUUGUGGGACACCUGCAUACGUAGCUCCGGAAGUGAUCAACAGGAAAGGCUAUGAUGGGGCGAAAGCUGAUAUAUGGUCUUGUGGUGUGGUUUUAUUUGUUCUACUGGCAGGUUAUCUUCCAUUUCAUGAUUCAAACUUGAUGGAGAUGUACAGAAAAAUUGGCAAAGCUGAGUUCAAAUGCCCUAAUUGGUUUCCUCAUGAAGCUCGUAGGCUGCUGUUUAAGAUGCUUGAUCCAAGCCCCACUACUAGGAUUUCCAUGGAUAAGAUAAAAGAAAGUUCUUGGUAUAGAAAAGGAUUGAACUCUAAACAGAAGAAAACUGAAACAGAAAGUCAGGAUGUUUUGGACAGGAAUGGUUCUGGCCCUUCUGAGAAUAGCAGCAUGUCUUUGGAGGCAAAGCAUGAGUCAGUCGAACCUCCAAAGUUAAAUGCUUUUGAUAUCAUUUCUCUUUCAGCUGGGUUUAAUCUCUCUGGAUUAUUUGAUGAAAAUUCUCAACUGAGAGAAGCAAGAUUUACUUCUGUGCAACCUGCAUCGGUCAUCAUAUCUAAACUUGAAGAUAUUGCCAAGCGUCUAAGGCUGAAGAUCAUGAAGAAGGAAGCAGGUUUGCUGAAAAUGGAAGGACUACAGGAGGGUAGAAAAGGGCCCUUAUCCAUUGAUGCAGAGAUCUUUGAGGUCACUCCGAAUUUUUAUUUGGUAGAGGUGAAGAAAUCUAGCGGAGAUACAAUGGAAUAUCAGAAGGUAUUGAAAGAGGAUAUAAAGCCUGCUCUCCAAGAUAUUGUUUGGGUUUGGCAAAGCGAGCAACUACAGCAGCCCCAGCAGCAGCAACAAGAACAAGAAACUACAUUAGCAGCAGCUGCAGCAAUGACAUAGUAGACUAGACUAGCAGUGUUUUCCUUGUUUGCUUAUCCCAUUCUCGAAGUGCUUGUGUUUUAAUGAUGACUUAUGGUUGUGUGUCCACGUUCAUUAAGUGCUCAUUUUUUUUUUCCAACUUAGUGUUUGUCUAUGUGAGUAUUAGAUCCCACCUAAAUGAAUUUGCUUGUAUUUGGUUUGUUGUGAACAAGGACUUACUGUUAAAGCAGUGAUCUUCUGUUUCUGUAAUCUUGAUGUGAUUCUUUUUUAUGCAUUAUGUAUGCAUUGAAAAGGUAUAAUUAUUUAUGUCCAACAAAGGGAUUGCCUGGCAGCUAACGCUGAUCUUGGUAAGAGUAGAAGGAUCAGUCUAGUUAAUAUUAUGCUGUUGGGUAUUUUAGGUCCUGUCGAAAGACUGAAAUGUGGCUAACUCUGUCACAUACCAAUGGUAACAAGCAUUAUGUUUUCUCUAUUUAAAGAUAUACUGUUGAAAAACUUCAUCCUUCUUUGGUAUCUUUUAAUAUGCUGCACCUGCUGUCUUUGUGCUACAAAAUUCUACCUUGGUUCCUGGGCUGUUGUUAAUCCAUUUUUUUUUGUUCCAGCAGGAAAUCUUCCAUCUUGGAAAUCAUAAUGUUAAAAAUGUGUUCUCAAUGAACCACUAGAGAAAGUCUUGUGUGGCACCAGUUCUGUGGUUCAUGGAUUAAGAAAAUUGCUAAGCAAGUGUGAUAUGUCCUUUUUGGGACCAGAAACAUAAAGCGAGCUUUGCGAUUCACAAGAUUACCAACAUGCACUACAUUGGAAUAUAUACACAGUGCAGUUCACAUGUCCAGAUAUGCAGUUUUGCAGAUGAAUGUCUUCAAGUUCUUCUGCAAAUACGACACUUGUUACCUCAUCUUGCCAAUAUUAGUUCUCAUGUAAAUUGUCUUAUGGUGGUUAUACAGUUUGAGGUUUCACCUUCCUGGUUUUUGGUGAGGAUAUUUAGUGAUGAAUCUCCUGAGUUCACAUGCCUCUUACCUACCAGGCUUUGUAAAAAAGUUGCAAGAGGGUGAAAUUUGAUAGCCAGGCUUCAUUGUUUUGGAUAAAAAUAAAGAAAGCAAUGCGGCAAUCAUGUGAUUUGAUAGCCAUUGGUCCCCAAUGUUUUAUGGCUAAUAAUAUUUCCAG
rnacentral:misc_RNA from 1 species